GAGGCCGUAUCAUGGAAGAGGAUUGAACAGAAGACUACUGAGUUCUUAAGAGAAAAAUGGUACUUAAGAAAUUGAUGGUGAUAUCAAAGGAAGGUUACUUAUUACUCUUGGACUUUGAUGAUGAGGACGAUGACAUAAAAGUUUCAGAGGAGGCUCUUGCGGAAGAGAUGAAGUAGACAGUAUGUUGGAUAAAUCUGGAGUAAAGAACCCAGCAAUUGGUAAAGAUGAGAAUAUAUCGCCUCAAGUAAAAGGAGAUGAAGACAUGGGAGAUGAAAUUGACAGUAUGUUGGCUACAUCUGGUGGUCUUUUCUCCUGAGAACACGGGACUCCAGCAUCUUCGGAUUCUGCUCUUGGAGAUGUGUGCAGCUGAACAGAGCGUUGAGGAAACGUCAGUGAUUUUAUAACUACUUAUCAUGUUGGGAGAUUGUUGUGAUGAUUGCCUGGACUCUCAGAUGUUACACAGGAUUAUCUGGAUGAAACAUAGCAACUGUAACUUAAAUCAAGAAAGCUAUUUUGUGCGGACAUUAGAAGUGUGAAACUAAUUCUCAAAAGGUGUAUAUUAUCUGAAUCAACACUUAUAAUUUCCUACCCAUCUUACAACACAGCAAGUUCUUCAUGCCUAGCAGGAUUAUUCUGUUGCAUCAUUGGACUGAAAGUGAAUGGCCCACGUGUUGCCACUGAUGUGAGCCAUUUGCCUGUUGUGCUUCAA
rnacentral:precursor_RNA from 1 species